rnacentral:tRNA from 1 species
CAGGGCCUGGUCCACGGCCGGGUGGCCGGCCUGCUCCCACCAGGUCGGUGAGCCGGGGCCUGGUUGGCGUGCCGUGCUCGGCGGGUGGACCCUUGA